GCUGGGGGUGGCUGACUCGGCCAAAAUGUUUCCUUUUUCUCCUGCUGUUUGCCUGAUUCUGCUGUUGAGCAAGCCUGAUUCUCAUCUUCUGUUGAUCUGUCUACUCAUCACUUGAAGACCUACAGAGAACAACACAAUCAGGUGGAGAAGGAAAACAACCCACGUCAAGACAAGCAGGAUAAGAACAGCAUGUGCAAACUUCAGCUGCCACGAGCUUUGAAGAUUUUCCCUGCCAUGCCCUUCUGCUGUGAUGUUCUGCCUCACCUCAGGCCCAGAGCAAUGAAGUCA